CCUACGGGUGGCUGCAGUGAGGAAUAUUGGUCAAUGGACGAGAGUCUGAACCAGCCAAGUAGCGUGAAGGAUGACUGCCCUAUGGGUUGUAAACUUCUUUUAUAUGGGAAUAAAACGCUCCACGUGUGGGAUUUUGUAUGUACCAUAUGAAUAAGGAUCGGCUAACUCCGUGCCAGCAGCCGCGGUAAUACGGAGGGUCCGAGCGUUAUCCGGAUGUAUUGGGUUUAAAGGGCGCGUAGGUGGAUUGUUAAGUCAGGUGUGAAAGUUUGCGGCUCAACCGUAAAAUUGCAGUUGAAACUGGCAGUCUUGAGUACGGUAGAGGUGGGCGGAAUUCGUGGUGUAGCGGUGAAAUGCAUAGAUAUCACGAAGAACUCCGAUUGCGAAGGCAGUUCACUGGACUGCAACUGACGCUGAGGCUCGAAAGUGUGGGUAUCAAACAGGAUUAGAUACCCGUGUAGUC
rnacentral:rRNA from 1 species